rnacentral:rRNA from 1 species
CAAUAGCGUAUAUUAAAGUUGUUGCAGUUAAAAAGCUCGUAGUUGGAUUUCUGGUUGAAGCGACCGGUCGGGCGUUGAUUCGUCUGCACUGGAGUCGGUUUUGGCCAUCCUCUAGGAAAGUGCGUCUGGUAUUAAGUUAUCGGGCGUAUGAUCCUGGUCUUUUACUGUGAAAAAAUUAGAGUGUUUAAAGCAGGCCUUCGCCUUGGAUACAUUAGCAUGGAAUAAUAAGAUAGGACUUUGGUCUAUUUUGUUGGUUUGCAGACCGAAGUAAUGAUUAAUAGGGAUAGUUGGGGGUAUUUAUAUUCCGAUGUCAGAGGUGAAAUUCUUAGAUUUUCGGAAGAUAAACUUAUGCGAAAGCAUUUACCAAGGAUGUUUUCAUUAA